GACGAACGCUGGCGGCGUGCUUAACACAUGCAAGUCGAACGGAAAGGCCCUGCUUUUGUGGGGUGCUCGAGUGGCGAACGGGUGAGUAACACGUGAGUAACCUGCCCUUGACUUUGGGAUAACUUCAGGAAACUGGGGCUAAUACCGGAUAGGAGCUCCUGCUGCAUGGUGGGGGUUGGAAAGUUUCGGCGGUUGGGGAUGGACUCGCGGCUUAUCAGCUUGUUGGUGGGGUAGUGGCUUACCAAGGCUUUGACGGGUAGCCGGCCUGAGAGGGUGACCGGCCACAUGGGGACUGAGAUACGGACCAGACUCCUACGGGAGGCAGCAGUGGGGAAUAUUGCACAAUGGGCGGAAGCCUGAUGCAGCAACGCCGCGUGCGGGAUGACGGCCUUCGGGUUGUAAACCGCUUUCGCCUGUGACGAAGCGUGAGUGACGGUAAUGGGUAAAGAAGCACCGGCUAACUACGUG
rnacentral:rRNA from 1 species